rnacentral:rRNA from 1 species
CGUAGUGGCGCACGGGUGCGUAACGCGUGGGAAUCUGCCCUUGGGUCCGGAAUAACUCAGAGAAAUUUGAGCUAAUACCGGAUGAUGACGUAAGUCCAAAGAUUUAUCGCCCAGGGAUGAGCCCGCGUAAGAUUAGGUAGUUGGUGGGGUAAAGGCCUACCAAGCCGACGAUCUUUAGCUGGUCUGAGAGGAUGAUCAGCCACACUGGGACUGAGACACGGCCCAG